rnacentral:snoRNA from 1 species
GCAUGAGUCUGGAUUUAUAGCAGGCCUGUCCUUCUGGGCGUCUCAUAGCAUUCCAUGCCAGAGCAAACUGUAUCUCAAACCAUUGCUUAGCCUCUGCCUGUAGACUGCUGGCACUGAAGUAGGCUGCACAGUG